UAGCCACAUGAAGGGACCUGGUGUGCCGCAGAAGCAAUAAACCAUGGGGUCAAGUUUGAGCAAUGAGAGAAAAAGCUGGGACCAUCUCAUAAUGUUUGUGUACAUUCCUGUUGUCUUCUACCUCCCAUCCACCGUGUCUCUCUACUGCCUAUAACCAGCCUACAUAAGUUCUUUCAAGAGAUCAAGAAAGAAACAGAAAUCUAGACAGAGAAGGUGAAAAAGAGAAGACCUAACAGAGAGCUAAGAAAGAUAAAUGUGAUUGGAGAGGAAACUAUCCCCAAUUCUCUCUUCAUUGACAUUUGGGGCUGUACCAGUUUACAUUUUCACCAACAUUCCCACCAUUGUGGUGGCCAGCAACUGAGGAGGCUGAGAUAAGUGGAUUCCCUGAGCCCAGGAGGUGGAGGUUGCAGUUAGCCAAGAUUGCGUCACUGCACUCCAGCCUAGGCAACAGAGUGAGACCUGUCUCAAAAAAAAAAAAAAAAAAGAGUUAAAUUAAAAAAUAAAUAAAAGUCAUUUGACCAUAUAUGUGAUUGUUUAUUUCUUGCUCUCCAUCUAUUCUAUUUACCUAUAUAUCUAUCUUUAUUCCAGUACAAUGCUGUUUUUAUUAUUGUAACUUUGAAAAAAAAUUUUAAAAUCUAGAAGUGUGAUCUUUAACUUUUGUUCUUUUUCAAAAUUGUUU
rnacentral:lncRNA from 10 species